GAGGGGUAUCCACAGAUAGCACCAAGCAUCCUGUCUUCUAAAUGUGAACGCUAACAUGUUGUGGCACUAGCCACACAAGUGUUUAAAUAAACACUCCCUUUAGUUAAAAUGCCUGGCCAGGUAACUUCUUAAUUAUUGUAUCUAUUUAAUUAAGGAUUCCCCUUUAAGAAGGCUGAACUCCCAUGAGCCUUUGUUCUUUUUUAAACAGGUAGAGGGUUGAAGGGAGGCAGGUUUUGUGUUCUGGGUUCCUCCAUUUUGUGUAUGGCGGUGUGGUUUGUGUGCAGGUUCUGAAUGGGUUCCAGUUGACUUUCAGGAUUUUAUUUACAAGAAAAUUAUAUUAAAUAAGAACUAUACCUACCUUGGAGCAUCUCUUGGACAACUUGUUGCUGUUGGACUGCCACUGGAACUACAGAAUAAGCAUCAACAAACAAACAAACAGUCAGGUCUGUGAGGAUGAGAAGGUCUCCACAGUCUGGAGUCUGGUCUCUGACAGGCUCAACAUACCUGUCAAUCAACAGGGACUCCUCUACAAAGGCAAGGCGCUGGCAGGUGAUGAAGUGACACUUUGAAUAUGGGGCCUGAUGAGAGAAGUAUCCUUUUCAUGUGGUUUUGGUUUUGCCGUUGUGAGCAGGAGUGGGAGACAGCACCGUGUCUGCAUGUGAAAUAACAAAGUCAUCGCAGUGGAGGGACUCUCUGAAGGCUGCUGUUUGUGGAUUUGUCUUGUAAUGUGAGUGAUCUACUGUACUGUGAUGCAACUGAUUGUACGCACGCUGCACUGUAGGGGAGACACCGCUGGCAUUCACAGGGCAUGCUUGUUCAUUUAAAGCAUGCUGCACUGCAGGGGAGACACCGCUGGCAU